CAGAUAUGUGCUGUUCUGAAGACUCCCUAUGACUUGGCUGUAGCGCACCUUGUAGGCACUUUGAAUGUGCCUCUUUCUUUGGGCCCCUACGCAACUCUGAGGUGUUCAUUGGCAAGGAUGCCCCUGGUCUGCGACACCUUUGCUGUUUUAGAUUUAUUUAUCGAUGUUGAGGUGCCAGGAAAGGGGAAUCUCUCCAUUCCCGACUCAGCCGGCUCCAUCAACCUGCCUCCCAGGGACAAAUUUAAGCACUGCCAGUCUUUCCAUCCAGAACUCUUCAACAUCCUCCUUUCUGUUUUAGCCCCAAAUGAGCCCCAAGAACUG